rnacentral:tRNA from 1 species
GGAGGCGUGGCUGAGUGGUUGAAGGCACCUGUCUUGAAAACAGGAGACUCUUUACGGGGUCCGUGAGUUCGAAUCUCACCGCCUCCG